rnacentral:rRNA from 1 species
UACAGAGGGGGCAAACGUUGUUCGGAAUUACUGGGCGUAAAGCGCGUGUAGGCGGCCAUCUAAGUCGGGCGUGAAAUCCCAUGGCUCAACCGUGGAAGUGCACUCGAAACUGGAUGGCUAGAGUCCUGGAGAGGAAGGUGGAAUGCUUGGUGUAGAGGUGAAAUUCGUAGAUAUCAAGCGGAACACCGGUGGCGAAGGCGGCCUUCUGGACAGUGACUGACGCUGAGACGCGAAAGCGUGGGGAGCAAACAGG